rnacentral:misc_RNA from 1 species
GAUGAAGAACGUAGCGAAAUGCGAUAAGUAAUGUGAAUUGCAGAAUUCAGUGAAUCAUCGAAUCUUUGAACGCACAUUGCGCCCGCUGGUAUUCCGGCGGGCAUGCCUGUUCGAGCGUCAUUUCAACCCUCAAGCUCUCCGGAGUUUGGUGUUGGGGCGCCUGGGGCUUUUCGACCUCAGGGCCCUCAAGUCCAUCGGCGGGACCGCCAGGACACUGAGCGCAGUAGUAUUAUUUCGCUCGGUAGGAUCUUCCACGGCGGGUCGAUCUGGCCGCUAAACCCCCCAAUUCUCACCAAAGGUUGACCUCGGAUCAGGUAGGAAUACCCGCUGAACUUAAGCAUAUUAAUAAGCGGAGGA